AACAUACCAAGGGCCACAGCUGGCCGGGUGCUACACAAGGAACAGUCGAGCGAACGCUAUGAGCUCUACCACCAUUAAACUAAUCGGAUACUUCCAAGGAACAGUAUUCUCGCUUCUUUUCUGGCCAAGGAUGUGCAUAAAACAUCCAGGGGGAGCUCGUCGCAGGAUCAGCGAAAGAAAUAUAGAGCGCGGACAAAACUUUUGGUAAUUUAGCGGCGCUUAGACGAUCUUAACAGGAUCGAACACGUCCUUCCUGUCCUCGACCCAGGGAUCUCGCAGGUACGCAGUGGCAAAGUUGCAAUCUAGAAAAUCUAGAAGACGAAGACUCUCUUCGUCGAGUUUCUUCCUUGCAAGUUUGGAAAAGCUACUUGAUCCUCUGCGUUGAUGGGUUUGGUGUUCUCUUCUCUCAAGGUAAUGCUCUUUAUAUCUUUUA